rnacentral:rRNA from 1 species
UGCGCCUACGGGAGGCAGCAGUGGGGAAUAUUGCACAAUGGGGGAAACCCUGAUGCAGCAACGCCGCGUGAGUGAAGAAGUAUUUCGGUAUGUAAAGCUCUAUCAGCAGGGAAGAAGAAAGACGGUACCUGACUAAGAAGCCCCGGCUAACUACGUGCCAGCAGCCGCGGUAAUACGUAGGGGGCAAGCGUUAUCCGGAUUUACUGGGGGUAAAGGGGGCGUAGACGGCAUAGCAAGUCUGAAGUGAAAGCCGGUGGCUCAACCGCGGAACUGCUUGGGAAACUGUUAAGCUGGAGUACUGGAGG